rnacentral:lncRNA from 1 species
CGUUAAAUGUGCUCCUUUCAGCAUAUAUUUGUUUGCUAAUGCUUUAACAUAUAUAAAUUAAUAUAUUUUCUAUUGAAUAGUUUUUUUCCCCUUUUUGAAGCAAAAUAGAAAAUAACUCCUAAAAAACAUGGCUGCCAGAGAUGCCCCCUCCCCCCACUAGGUGCUCACUCCUAAACAUUAAAAUUAGGGAGGGACCCCACCUGCUGACAUGGGGGGGUAAGAUGUUGCCCCCAUUUAUUUUAUUAAACAACCUCCACCCACUGAUCUUAUUACAAAGUGCCCCAUCAGAUGCAAACUUAUUUCACAGACCCUAUACCCAUUGGGGUAUACAUGGCAGCGGAUGUAUACAGAGGUUUUAAACCUCCAUUCUAGUAGCUACUAAUCCCCAUUGGCUCUUUAGUUAUUUUAUUUUGUUUAGCAAGAGGCUGGCCAGCUGCUACAUACAUAGUUACAUACAAUCCAUUUAAAUUCAGCCUUUUUCAAAUCUGUUUUUGCCGCUAAUUGAAAGCAAGGCAAAAAACACAGUUUGCCAUUCUGGGGUCGAGAAGGAAUUCUUUCCUAAUUUGUUGCAAAAUUGGAAAGUGUUUCAGUCAGAUCUCAGCUUGUAUCAUUUGCAAACACUGACACAAAACCUUACAUAAUUAACCCUUGUACUGUCCGCUGGCAGUGCCACUUAAAAUGAUCGUUGUCUUGCUUGAGAAAGCAAGUGCAUGAUAUCUUGCAAACGUGCAUCCCGCUGGAUGCAUUUAGUCCUUAUUCAUUUUAAAGCCAGCUCUAUAUAAAUCUUUCAAAUUCUAUAUUUUGUAUAGGAUUAAAAAAACAAAACCACCAAUUUUAAUCCAGCCAUCUAAUGUCUGGGUGAUUUCUGUAGAUUUUCUUGGGCCAACCAAAUUCUGACCGUAUCUUGCUUCAGUAAAUAUGAGAAUUGUCAUUGCAGUGAUAAUUUGGUAACUUUUAGUCAGAUUUUGUCCAUCCGGAUAAAAUCUAGUGUUUAGUGAUUAACCCCCUUUGUAGUUAUAAUGUGGUUCAUAGAAGUUGUUGGGGUAAGGUUUUGGAGAUCCCGUAACACUUAGCCACUCUGUAAUCUGCCAUUUACCCAAGACCCUUAGUCUUGUUUUCCUUUUUUUUUUUCAUAGCCCAUGUACUUAUUUCAUCUAUAAGCAAAUAAUGGGUACGGUCCUGGAUUUAUCAUCUUAAUGAAUCAGGUUUGGUGUGGCAUGGCAUAAUUGUAAUUAUUCUUCAUUCCAUUAUAACAGAGAUAACUUUCCAGCAAGUUGUAAAGAGUUACAAUUCACUUUUGCCAUUUGCAUCCUAGAUCUUUAUAAACACAAUUCAUCCUGUUUUCAAAAGCAGCCAAAGGUUGCUAUAAAAAGCUGAUGAAUGAUGCCACCUGCUGACCACAUUCUAUGCAACUGAAGAUAUUUCAGUGAACAAACACUGGUGGUUUCUUGCUAUUUUUCAGAUUUGGUGAAACACUGAAGCAGUAUUUUAGAUAAUUGUUAAACUGAUUUUAUUGGUCACUUAAAGGAUGGCCACCAGCUUUUGCUCUAUAAAAUUAAGUUAAAGAUUACUAACCACAUUUCCAAAGCCAGUGCUCCUCUCAUGCAGCUUUUAGCUCCUCUUCCAGGGGUGGUUACAUCAUUCGUGAUCUCUUCCAAACCAUUGCUUCUCCUAGAAAAGCAAUGGACUGGAACCAUGCCCUCCAAUCACAUGCUAUCAGCAGAAUUUCAUGCCAAGACCAAGUUUUUCUUGGUCUUGAGGUGGAGGCGACUCUAGUGGCUGUCUGGAAGUCGGCCACUAGAGGUGGAAUUAACACUGCAAUGACAACUGACAAAAAAACUGCACUUUUUUACACUGAAUGGUUCAAUUGGUUGGUAGCCAUAAUAAUUGAUGUAGUAAGGUAGCUAGGUAUUUGUCCUCAAGGUAUAAUCUUGUGGGGGGGCUCAGAGAGCUUCAAGCUGGAGAAUAGUAGCAUUUAUGUAACUUCAGGUCUGGUAUUCCAAGACCACCACGAGAAGUGGGAAGACACAAAAUGGAUGUGGCUAUCUGUAGAGGCAGUGUCCUCCAAAUGUGAGCAAAGAGUAGUGAUUGAUAGCAUUGAUGGUAGAGAGAUGGGGAUUGUACUAGAGAUAUAUAAGAAUGUUGGUAAAACCGCCAUUUUCAUGGUGUUCUGCCAAACUAGGAAAUGUCAAAUUUUUGUAAUUGGGCUCUAGUGUCAUUCAAGAGUUUCAUAUAGUUUUCUUUUAUUAGUUCUGUUUGGGACAUUGUUAGUUUUAUAUCUAAAGAUAUGAUGUAGUCCCGCCUCCAAUCAAAGGCAUAUUUUCCUUGAAGCCUAUCCAAAUCACCAAGAGGCAGUGCCUGGGACGACUUUCAAUCAACCAAUCAGAGUGUUGUUAUGAGUCAAAUUACACAGCAUGGGAAACUUCCAAAGAACUUUCCCACGCUGUGUAAAACGACACAGAACAAUCGGAGUGGUUGGAUUUCAAGCUAACCAAUCAAAGUGCAUUGACAGGUAAAUUUAGAGACUUACCUGUCAGAGUACUCUGAUUUGAUGGCUUUAUAAGCCUUCCCCCGACCUGCGGAGCUCAGUCUGCACGGUGCACUCCAUGGGUGAUGAUGGAUUACUUUUU